UACGGAGGAUCCAAGCGUUAGUCCGGAAUCAGUUGGGUUUAAAGGGUCCGUAGGCGGGCCUUAUAAGUCAGUGGUGAAAGUCCCCAUCGCUCAACGAUGGAACUGCCAUUGAUACUGUAAGGCUUGAAUUAUUGUGAAGUUAACUAGAAUAUGUAGUGUAGCGGUGAAAUGCUUAGAUAUUACAUUGGAAUACCAAAUUGCGAAGGCAGGUUACUAACAAUGGAUUUGACGCUGAUGGACGAAAAGGCGUGGGGAGCGAACAGGAUUAGAUACCCCCGGUAGU
rnacentral:rRNA from 1 species